rnacentral:rRNA from 1 species
GACGAACGCUGGCGGCGUGCCUAAUACAUGCAAGUAGGACGCAGUUGCGAACGGGUGAGUAACGCGUAGGUAACCACACACUAGAGGGGGAUAACUAUUGGAAACGAUAGCUAAUAUAGCAUACUAGUAGAUGGACGUGCGUUGUAUUAGCUAGUAGGUGGGGUAAAGGCCUACCUAGGCAACGAUCCAUAGCAGACCUGAGAGGUGGAUCGGCCAAACGGGGACUGAGACACGGCCCAGACGCCUACGGGAGGCAGCAGUAGGGAAUCUUCGGCAAUUGGGGGAACCCUGACCCAGCAACGCCGCGUGAGUGAAGAAGGUUUUCGGAUCGGAAAGCUCUGUUGUUAAGGAAGCGGUACUUAACCAGAAAGGGACGGCUAACUACGUGCCAGCAGCCGCGGUAAUAC